rnacentral:tRNA from 1 species
CGUCGGCGUUGGUGUUGGCGUGGGCGUCGGUGUUGGCGUCGGCGCAGGCGCAGGCGUCGGCGCAGGCGCAGGCGUCCCACCCGCCGCGCCGACGUCC